AAAUAUUUGCAGGGGGACACGAAAGUGUUGAGAAGGUUUAAGCCUGACCCUUAGAACCUGACAGUUAAUACUGGCGUAGGGAGCAAAGUACAUAUGAUC
rnacentral:ncRNA from 1 species